UUAUCAAGUUCAAUAUUCAGGUCACGAAUUUAACAUUUUCAAUUUGUGGGAUGGAAAUAUUUGAAAAUUACAAGGAGCUUGAAAAGUAGUAUUUAGUCUACUGAAAACAAUUUUUUCGCUUCAUGUGUUUCGCUAACCAAGUUAGCAUCAUCAGGAGUUGUCUAGAGUCUAGACUGUCUAAGAGGAGAUAUAACAGAAUUACCUCAUUAUGUGUUUUACACCAAAUAAUAAACCAUAUUGAAAAAUUUUUUCCAUCUUGCUGAGACGUUUUGGGAUCCAAAACAAAAAAUUCAGUUCUACUCGACCAUAGAGGUAGAAGUCAAUGUGAACCGCCAAGUUUGUCGGCUUCUUGCUAAACUGCCGAAUCCCAUCAAAGAGGAAGAGGGACUCUCUUUAAUCAACGUUCUCACCGAUAGAUCUCUCAGUUCGUUGAAGAAUGACAAGGACUUUCUGUGCCACCUCAUUCUGAUCAAGAAUCCCAAGAUAUGCCAAGUGUUGGCCCGAAAAAUAACAACAAGCUCUUGAGUGAUUGUGUUAGUGUUUUCUAUAUUUGUAUUUAUUUAAAAUAAAACACAAGUUUUGUAUUAAA